UUGAACCAAUCUAGAGUUGGUUGUCGCUGGCCUUCUUCCCCUUUGGGGGGUGGAGGCAUGUGCACGCCUUCUCUUCCAUCCACACACACCUGUGCACUUGUGAGAUGGGGGGGGCUGGAAUUUUUCUAACCUUCCAUCUGCUAUUACACAAACUCAAUUUAAUUUAAACUGAAUGCGAUUGAUGUAACACAUCUAAUAC
rnacentral:misc_RNA from 1 species